rnacentral:rRNA from 1 species
AUACGGAGGGAGCAAGCGUUAUUCGGAAUCACUGGGCGUAAAGGACGCGUAGGCGGGUUUGUAAGUCAGGUGUGAAAUCCUACAGCUCAACUGUAGAACUGCACUUGAAACUACAGACCUAGAGUAUGGAAGGGGCAGAUGGAAUUAGUGGUGUAGGGGUAAAAUCCGUAGAUAUCACAAGGAAUACCGAAAGCGAAGGCGAUCUGCUGGGACAUUACUGACGCUGAGGCGUGAAAGCGUGGGGAGCAAACAGGAUUAGAUACCCUAGUAGUCC